rnacentral:rRNA from 1 species
AGCAGCCGCGGUAAUUCCAGCUCCAAUAGCGUAUAUUAAAGUUGUUGCAGUUAAAAAGCUCGUAGUUGAAUUUUAGGUCUGGGCGGGCGGUCCACCUUCCGGGUGAGCACUGUUCCGACGCUGGGUCUAUCCUUCCGGUGAGACGGCAUGCUCUUCGCUGGGUGUGUCGAGGAACCAGGACCAUUACCUUGAAAAAAUUAGAGUGUUCAAAGCAGGCAUUUGCUCGAAUACAUUAGCAUGGAAUAAUAAAAUAGGACGCGUGGUACUAUUUUGUUGGUUUCUAGGAUCGCCGUAAUGAUUAAUAGGGAUAGUUGGGGACAUUAGUAUUCAAUUGUCAGAGGUGAAAUUCUUGGAUUUAUUGAAGACUAACUUCUGCGAAAGCAUUUGCCAAGGAUGUUUUCAUUAAUCAAGAACGAAAGUUAGGGGAUCGAAGACGAUCAGAUACCGUCGUAGUCUUAACCAUAAACUAUGCCGACUAGGAAUCGGGCGAUGUUAUUUUAACGACUCGCCCGGCGUCUUA